UCAGGCAUUUUAGCAACCCUAUGCAUGCGAACCUGCCGCUAAACCAGUUGACCGCACGCCUGACUGGCUCGCUCAGACACAAAACGCGCAUGGAGGGGGAGGGGUUGUUCUAAGAAAGUUUCCAUUUCGCUACUUGUGUAAGUGCUUUUUUCCUUCAGGUACUUGCAACACUAUGUUGUUGUGCGGCAUUUGUGACGCGUCAGAUUAUACAUAUUACAACAAACAAAUGUCUACAAAUAAUCAUACAUACAUAUGUAUGAAUAAUACAACACAUUGGUGAACUUAAGAGAGCAAUAAUGUGUGGUGGUGUUGUAUGCGAAGCGAGUACGAGAGUCAAUGCAAUAUCUGGCAAUAAAGUGUGGAUAUUUCAUAAAGCGUUUUUGAAUUAAAGGAACAAAAGAAAAAAAAACAAGGGGAAAGUCAAGUUACAGCUGUAGGGGCAAACAAAAAUUACAAUUCACUUUACAGAAAAUGCUUCGUGCAAACAUACAGACAAGCAUACACAUUGAGUAAUCAGUCAAUAAAUGACUCCGUAUGCACUAGGGAUGUUAAUUUUUGUACUUUUUACGAUCCCGGAAUUUUCAAAAUGUGGUUAUCACAAUCGCGGGAUCCCGAGAUUGGUCCCGGGAUUUAGAUAUUCAUUACUUUUUAACCAAUUAAAUAAGAAAAA